GCGAGAGUAGCUCAGUCGGGUGAGCGCCCGCUUCUCAAUCAAGAGAUGCUGGUUCGAAUCCCGGCGCUGACA
rnacentral:tRNA from 1 species